rnacentral:rRNA from 1 species
AUUGAACGCUGGCGGCAGGCCUAACACAUGCAAGUCGAGCGAGCGGCGGACGGGUGAGUAAUGUCUGGGAAACUGCCUGAUGGAGGGGGAUAACUACUGGAAACGGUAGCUAAUACCGCAUACCAUCAGAUGUGCCCAGAUGGGAUUAGCUAGUAGGUGGGGUAACGGCUCACCUAGGCGACGAUCCCAAGCUGGUCUGUGAGGAUGACCAGCCACACUGGAACUAGGACACGGUCCAGACACCUACGGUAGGCAGCAGUGGGGAAUAUUGCACAAUGUGCGCAAGCCUGAUUCAGCCAUGCCGCGUGUGUGAAGAAAGCCUUCGGGUUGGAAAGCACUUUCAUCGGGGAGGCGUUACCCGCAGAAGAAGCACCGGCUAGCUCCGUACCAGGAGCCGCGGUAAUAC